AACGUAGGGGACAAGCGUUAUCCGGAUUUACUGGGCGUAAAGCGCCCGUAGGCGGCCUGACAAGUUGGACGUGAAAGCUCCUGGCUUAACUGGGAGAGGCCGUUCAAAACUGUCAAGCUAGAGUCUGGAAGAGGAGAGCGGAAUUCCCGGUGUAGUGGUGGAAUGCGUAGAGAUCGGGAGGAACACCAGUGGCGAAGGCAGCUCUCUGGUACAUGAUUGACGCUGAGACGCGAAAGCGUGGGGAGCGAACAGG
rnacentral:rRNA from 1 species